rnacentral:snoRNA from 1 species
UUCAAAUGACGAAGCAUAGCACUGGGCACUGAUUCGUUAACGAUCAUGAGUGAUAAUGCUUUAAGUGGGCUUAGAAACCCCACGCUACUGAUUUU